AAGCCAGUGAAGUGAAUUUGCCAUUGACUGAACAUCUUCCUUGUCGAUUUUCCUUUUCCACGGAUCCACAGCCAAUGAAUUGUUAUUAUCUCCUAGGGCUCGGAUUCGCCCCGAUCAGCAUGAAACUUGACUACACGGAUUCGGUUCGGUCGCAGUAGCGAAACCGCUCCCACCCUUUCAUCAAAAGCGUGACGCACGACGUAGUGGAGGAGUCGAUGGCCCUUUAGGGAAACAGAUGUGAUCCAUGGUUCUCCAGUCCUUGACAGGCCGGGUCAGACUCAACCCAAAGAAGUGUGUAUUUGAGCUGUUGUUUAGCUCUAUAGUCUAACGAAGGAGUAUAGAGGUAGAUCCAGAUCAAGUCAAAGCCAUUUUAAAUGUGGAUUCUUUGCUACGGAGAAAGAAGUCUUAAAGGCCUCCCUCACCUCUCGAUCCUUAACUAUCUUUCUCCAUGAAGUGAGGCCAAUAUUUCAGACCAAUUAUCAAGCUCAGUACGACUAGCAUAAGUACGACUAUGGGUUUGGUCGGUAGGGCGUGGUUGGUUCCGAGCUACGGGCAACAUUGGCUUAGGCAUAACUUUCGCUUGACAUCUAUGCCAGAGCAAGUCUUCCUUGAUGAGCCGCAGGAAAGCCCACGGAGCGG